rnacentral:lncRNA from 1 species
AUAGCACUUUGUUUACUCCAUGCUCAUAUGCAACAUCUUCCCAAUCUAUUGGUCUCUCCGACAUUACCACACUUGAGAUCUCCAACCUCCUCUUCCUUUCUAUUUAUAAAAACUUUAAAAGGGCGGUUGUCGAUGCAUAUGUCUAUAAUAAAUAUUGCAGAUCUCGAUAUAGGUCAGCGUUGGAAGGGAAACCACUUCGCCG